rnacentral:sRNA from 1 species
AGCUCAGCCCAGCUUUCAGAUUCUUCUACAGGGCUGAGUGCUUCUAGACAAUGCUUUAUUUCCUAGGAUUUGGUAUGGCUGAGUUUGUUUUUAAGUGUGGAAAAGAGUGAUUAUGAAAAAUGCUUGAGAAGACAGCACUGUCCUCAGAGACUGUGUCUUUACACUUGGACAGGUAGCAAAUGUUUGUUUUCAUUAAAACUUCAAUAGUUUUCCUAAUUUGUUUCACUGUCAUAAAGUCCAGCAGUCUAUUCUUAGAGAAAUCAUGGAGCUGAGGCUGCUUACCCACUGGGAAAAAUCAUCCCUGAGAAUAUUAGCUUUUUUUUUUUUUUUUUCCCAACUCAGAUUUUUAUUCCAGUCCUGGAAGGCCUAACAUUCAGUCCUGGAAGGCAUAACAUUCAGUGUCAUGAAAUUCAUCAUCUAUACCAUAGGCAGGAAUGGCUAAAUUUCUUUUACUCUGCAGAACUGGCUUGGAAAAUAUUUUGUACUAUCUAUUUCUUAGGAGUAAUUUGAGAAAUAAUUGACUUUACUACAGAAUCCUCUCCAUCCUCUGGAUCAGUGAGUAGCCUCAAGGUAUAUUAUAUUGUCUAAGAGUAUGGGCUUUAGGGUUGUAUAAUCCUGAGUUUGAAAAUUGGUUGUUACUCGUUAAACUAUGUAACCUUGGACAUAGUUAAUGUACCUUUCUGCACCUGUUCCCUAUCUUUAAAAUAAGCAUAAUGGUGCUUGCCUCAUGGAACUGUUACAAAGAUUAAGUGGCACACGCAUGAUGAUAAACACACAGUGCCUGGCAGAUAAUAAUGGGUUCAGUAAUGUUAAUUUAGACGUCUCUUCCCUGCCUUCUUAUCCCCAGUUCAGAUUGAGCAUAUCCUAUGUGCUCUAUGGGAGCCAAAACCCCAUAAGCUUUUAGAAAAUAUAUUAAACAGGCUGGGCGCAGUGGCUCAUGCCUGUAAUCCCAGCACUUUGGGAGGCUGAGGCAGGUGGAUCACGAGGUCAGGAGAUCGAGACCAUCCUGGCUAACACGGUGAAACCCCGUCUCUGCUAAAAAUACAGAAAAUUAGCCGGGCGAGGUGGCGGGCGCCUGUAGUCCCAGCUACUCAGGAGGCUGAGGCAGGAGAAUGGCAUGAACCCGGGAGGCAGAGAUUGCAGUGAGCCGAGAUGGCGCCACUGCACUCCAGCCUGGGUGACAGCAAGACUCCGUCUCAAAAAAAAAAAAAAAAAAAAAAAAAAAAAAAAAAUAUAUAUAUAUAUAUAUAUAUAUAUAAAACAGUAUAAAUUUCUAAUAGUUCUAGAAGACAUGCUAUCAGUGACGAAUUUAUAAUUAUUUUUGAAAGAUGGAUAAAGACAAGAUAACUGGAGAAAUAAAUAGAAAGAUAGCCCAAAGUGCAUGCCAGGAGUAAGUUGCUGUGAGGUGGGAACUGAUUAGAGGAGGUUUUUGACCCAGAAUUAAAGGGCAGAAGGAGUAGUGAUAGGACCUGGGCAUUUGUGUGGGUGAUAAAUUUGGACUCAUUUUGGAAUAGCUAGGUUAGAUUUUCCUUUCCUGUCCUCUUACCCCACCAGAGCCUUCUUCCUUGAAGUAGUGGUGUUUCAUUCUAUUCUGAAGCAGUGGAUAGGGACUCUGGCAGGAACUUCUGAGCAUGCCCCAAGUGGUUACCGAUUCCCAGGAGGAACUGGGAGGUGAGGAAAAAUGUGCUGGCCUUUAGAUUUAAAUAUCCCUGGAAAGCUUUGCAGAAGCCUGAAAAUAGACUCACACCGCUAUCCAUGGUGGUGAAAUGUCAGAAUGUUGAAAACAUAAAAAGGAAAAUCUAAAAGUUAUACAUCAGCACCAGAGGUUCAAGACAGAGUAAUAGGCAAGAAGUAAAAAAGGAAUACAGAUUGGAAAGAAAAGGUAAAACAGUCUUCAUUUGUAGAUGACGUACUUAUGUCUAUAGAAAAUCCUACUGAAUAAACAAUAAAAAGUCUAUAAUGAAGUAGUUUCACAGGCUACAAGGUCAUUAUAUAGCAGUUUAUUGCACUUCUAUAUACUAGUAAUGAAGAACUGAAAUUGAAAUUUUAAAAGGUACUGUCUUUAAUCAUUUCCAUCUGAGACUUUGUCAGCCUGGCCUUCACUGUCCAUAUUUCUGUCAGUAUUUUGGUCAAAACCAUUUAACAAGUCUCUAAGAAGUUCCAGACUUUCCCUCAUCUUCCUGUCUUCUGAACCCUGCAAACUCUUCCAACUUCUGCCCAUCAGAAAACAUUAAUUCUUAGGAAUAAACUUAACAAAUUGUAUUUAAGACCGGUAUGUCAAAAAUAACUAAACACUGUCAAGAGAAAAUCAAGACAAACGUAAAUAGAUGGAGAGAGAGAUACCACGUCAGUCGACUGAAAGAUUCAGUAUUGGUGGUGGAACAGAUGGAAGUUCUCCCCAAAUUGAUCUGUAGAGUCAGUGUAAUACCACAAGUUUGUUGCUGUUUUUUGCAAAAGCUUAAAAGGCAAAAACCAGACCACCUACAAGUAAGAAAGAAUCCGAUUCCCUCUUAAAUACAGCACUGGAUAUUAGAAUACACGGAAGAAUUGAAUAGCUUUAAAUGUUUGAGACGAAAAUGGCUUAAAUCUAGAAAUUCCUUUUCUAGAGGAAUUGCUCAAGGAUAUAUUCUUGGGAAAAAUCUAAGAAAAUUGAAAGAUAAGAAACAGCAUAAAAAAUUCAGUCCAAAAGGUGUUGAUUUGUGAUACUGAACAUGAACCAGUCAGCUAAAAAUCCCCGAUAAUCUCAUGAUGGGAAUUGGCAGAGCCGCAGGGGAAGGAAGGAGAAUGGUGUGUAGUUGUUAUUUGGAGAGAGUAUGUAGUACUCAGUACAGUGCCUGAUAAAAGAUAAUGAAUAUUGUUGAAUAAUUGCAUCCCGAUUAACUCUAUAUUGAUAGAAAAGAAGUAGGCUUAAAUAUGUUUUUAAAUCUCUAGAAUAGAAACAGGAUGUUUUCAAACCAGUAAAUUCAACAAACAAGGAUACAAGAACAAAAACUCCAUCAACCAAAACAAAAAGGUGUUUUGUUUUGUUUUGUUUCGCCUUGGGACUUGAAAGUAAAAAGCUAAAGUGACCUGCUUGCAAAUGGAAGAAUGACCUUCAGUAAUGUUCACAUAAACAGAUCUUCCAUAUGACAGCACUUGCCCUGCCAAGUGUCAGGUCACUGGGCAAAUAAAAGGAGGGUGGAGUGUAGGUCUUGAACACUAGAGAGGCCAGGUGUUUGGACUAAUCUGUAGCAUUUUAUGUUUCUUGCAGAUGUUCCCACAAGCCUGCAUUUCCAGAGCAUGCUGAAAUCUCAGUGGCAGAACAAGCCUUUUGACAAAAUCAAACCUCCCAAAAAGUUAUCGCUUAAGCACAGAGCACCCAUGCCGGGCAGUCUGCCAGAUCCAGCUCGUAAGGACAGGCACAAAUUGGUCAGCUCCUUCCUAACAACAGCCAGUAAGUGUCAGGGAGCCGGGAAGUCCCCCAGAGUAUCAGUGACUUUUCAUUCCUUUUAUAUUCUCAAAUUUGUAGUUUGCAUGCAUGUCGGGGUUGGGAGAGGCAGUUGACUGAUAACAAAUUCAGCUCACAGUGACUGCUUCUGCUUGUCUUGGAUGCUCUCAGAUGGACUUCGGGAGCUAUUCUAGACACCAUGGAUCUUGGAGCAAGACCCAAAAUGCUCAGUGAACAGCCAGCAAUGGCAUGGCAUUGAGUUCAUCUACGGUCAGGUGUCUUCUGUAUCCUGGUGACAUGUUUCUCUGGUUCUGGGCUCCCUGUGCCUUACCUAGCCAUUGUGCAAAUUACUAGAAACUUCAGUCCUGAAGGACUGUCCUGCUGCCCUGGGUAUACAGCGUUGGCCUAGAGAGAACUCGAGAGCUUGGAACUCGAAUAAGAAAAUAUUUGAGAGGACAUAUUUCACAGCUCUUUUUCUGUUCCCCUCUUCAGAGCUGUCCCAUCACCAAACCCGGCCUGACAGGACCCACAGGCAGCACUUAGACGAUGUGGGGGCCGUGCCCAUGGUGGAGCGAGUGACAGCGCCAAAAGCAGAGCGCUUGCUCAACCCACCGCCACCCGUGCAUGACCCAAACCACAGCAAAAUGAGAUUGCGAGACCAUUCAUCUGAGAGAAGUGAAGUGUUGAAGCAUCACACAGACAUGAGCAGUUCGAGCUACUUGGCAGCCACCCACCAUCCUCCACACAGUCCCUUGGUGCGACAGCUCUCCACCUCCUCAGACUCCCCUGCACCCGCCAGCUCUAGCUCACAGGUUACAGCCAGCACAUCGGUAAGUACCUGUGUGGGGUUGGCCGGACACCCCCUCUGCAGGUCACAGCUCACUCAAGUGGCUCCAGAGGACAGUGUGAGGGUGGGUUAUAAAGCCCAGGGCAUUUAUAGGAUCUCAGCUCAUCAUGACGUAUGUAUGUAUGUCUGUACCAUUUUUAAGUCAAAGUCAUGGUGCUUGACUUUCUGUUGUUUUUCUUGAGUUGUUUUUCAUAGCAGAGAUGGAUUUAUGCUGAGCCAUCCAUAGAAAGCUUGAUGCAGGGACAAACUCUUAAGGUGAUCUGUGACUAUUCAAGAUCUGUUGGACUAAGUUUCACACAGGACUCAACAAUUCCGUGGCCCUAAUCCUGUUGGCCCAAGAAGUGAACAAGAGAGGAGGGGUAGAGGGGAGAUUCCCAUGGGCGUUGGAAGCAGUGUUUGAUUUCCUUGGUUUUACUCUCCGGGUGAGUGGAGGUGAAUUACUGAGAAUAAACACUAGGCGUGAGGGUACCAGAAGAGAAGGGAAGGGAGAAGGCAGAGUCCAUGCUUUUUAGGUAUACAGAGCAGAAUUACAGAUCCAGCAGGCCCCCAUGGCAGGACAUUUGGCAUGCACACACCAGAUUUUACGAUACCACACUCCAUCUGGAAGCAGUUUGCACAGCUAUUCCAGACACAUUUCCUUUAAUUUCAUUCUAAUAUUUUAAUUCCUCAAGUGUGCCCUCUUGGAACAUAUAUACCUGUAGCUGCUAUGUACCUACUCAAAGGGUCCUUUUGGUAUAAUAAUUACAAUGUAAUGUAAUGGUAAAUGUAAAACUCUACAACUGUAAUGUUUAUUGAACAUUUACUACAUGCCAGUGAUCAGUGAUUUACAUGUGUUACAUGUUAUAAUGCCUUUUGAGAUGUAGGUUGGUACUGUGGAUUUCAUUUUAUAUGCAUGAAAACUGUCAAGGUAACUUGUGAGGGUUAUAAUUAUGAUUCAAACUCAGGCAGCCUGACUGUAGAGCCAGCUCUUUUACCAUUACACUACACAGGCUAAGCCUGUAUGAGGGUAUUGCAGAGGCAACUUAGGAAGUUCCUUCAGAGUCUAGAUCAGGAAACUUCCAAGCUCAUAAAAUGGACUCACUAGGCUCCUGUGAUCAGGUAGGAAUUCACAUUGUUCUCACUUUGCUAUUACAAAUCAAUCUUUUCCAAAUGGUCUGUUUGCUCUUGCCCUUUCUUUACCCCCCUAACCCAC